GAUGAACGCUGGCGGCGUGCCUAAUACAUGCAAGUCGAGCGAACGGACGAGAAGCUUGCUUCUCUGAUGUUAGCGGCGGACGGGUGAGUAACACGUGGAUAACCUACCUAUAAGACUGGGAUAACUUCGGGAAACCGGAGCUAAUACCGGAUAAUAUUUUGAACCGCAUGGUUCAAAAGUGAAAGACGGUCUUGCUGUCACUUAUAGAUGGAUCCGCGCUGCAUUAGCUAGUUGGUAAGGUAACGGCUUACCAAGGCAACGAUGCAUAGCCGACCUGAGAGGGUGAUCGGCCACACUGGAACUGAGACACGGUCCAGACUCCUACGGGAGGCAGCAGUAGGGAAUCUUCCGCAAUGGGCGAAAGCCUGACGGAGCAACGCCGCGUGAGUGAUGAAGGUCUUCGGAUCGUAAAACUCUGUUAUUAGGGAAGAACAUAUGUGUAAGUAACUGUGCACAUCUUGACGGUACCUAAUCAGAAAGCC
rnacentral:rRNA from 1 species